rnacentral:rRNA from 1 species
GGGGCGAAGAAGUAUUUCGGUAUGUAAAGCUCUAUCAGCAAGGAAGAAACAAAUGACGGUACUUGACUAAGAAGCCCCGGCUAACUACGUGCCAGCAGCCGCGGUAAUACGUAGGGGGCAAGCGUUAUCCGGAUUUACUGGGUGUAAAGGGAGCGUAGACGGUUGUGUAAGUCUGAAGUGAAAUCCCCCGGCUCAACCGGGGAACUGCUUUGGAAACUAUACGACUAGAGUGCAGGAGAGGUAAGUGGAAUUCCUAGUGUAGCGGUGAAAUGCGUAGAUAUUAGGAGGAACACCAGUGGCGAAGGCGGCUUACUGGACUGUAACUGACGUUGAGGCUCGAAAGCGUGGGGAGCAAACAGGAUUAGAUACCCUGGUAGUCCACGCUGUAAACGAUGAAUACUAGGUGUUGG